ensembl:lncRNA
CUUUGGGCCAAGUGGAGCCGCAGCCUGGGGACAGCCAAGCCUCUGGAGCGGGCGACAGAUGAACCUGGGGUCUGCGGAAGGACAAGGCACCCUUGCCGGGGAAAUGUGAUGGUCAGCAGAACCUCACGAGACAGAGGCCAGCUUCCGGAUGGCUUCUCCAGGAAGCAGAUGCUGUCUGCCUUUCCCAGCCCUGACUCUGCAGUGGCCUGGUCUGGAGCCAGGAGCUGGGAGCCUCUGAUGAAACAGCAGCUCCCAAGUGGCGGCAGGGUCAUAUCAGGGGACAACCGCUCACUCCUCAGCCCCUUCCACUCCCCUCUCCAGUCCUGGACACACAGAGAAUCAGGGAUGAACGCUGUCAUUCUCAGAGAACAGAAGAACCAGAGAAUCACAGACGGUGACAGACCCCAGGCUGAGGCAACUGACUGGAAGGAAGCAUGGAGCUGAGAGCCAUGCCAUUGAGCCCAUCAGAAGAGGCUGUUCAAAGAGGGGAGCUGGGCUGACACCUGAAGAAGAAAGAGCCAUCAGAGGGAUUUCCAGAAAGACCACAAGGAGGCCAGGGGCUGCUGGGGUUGAGCAGGAGAGAGAGGUAGGCCAAGAGGAGGUAGGAGGCUGGAGGCAAGGGUCAAGGCUGGACUUCACAACCUCCUGGGCCUUAGUAGGGUGUUUGCAAGUUAUUUUAAGAUGAGAAGGCAGAUCCAAGGAGGUGUACGAUCACAGAGAGAUGGCCAGCUCUGCCAGCCCUUCCUCCUGGCCUGCGUCUCCAGGAAGGACAGCCGUAACUUCUGUGGGCCAUGAUGUGCAGGGCCAUCCUAUGGGCUUGGGGAAAACCAGGUUUCACUGAUGGGGGAAAAUUAGAAGUCCCCAGGUGCCGACAAAGGUCCAUAGAGUCAAAGUUAUAGUUUUUCCAGUGGUCAUGUACAGAUGUUGAAUAUUGGACCAUAAAGAAGUCUG